CUACAGUAAAUCCAGGAUUACUGACAGGUGUUAAAAUAUGUUCAGGUUUUCGUUAACAACAAAUGAUGUGCAGGCUUGAAUGAGAACAAGGAAGUUAGUUUUUCUAAGAACUCUUGGACGUUCGAACUCUGUCUGUCUGUACAGGUAUGCAAAAAA